CAUAUUCCUGAUGUGGGAUUUAUAUCUCCACACUCUUGAGUAUAGUUGUUUCGUUCAUGUAGUUGUGUUUAUAUGAUUUGUGAAUGAUCUUGGAUAUAUUGCUCAUUAUAUUAAAACACACCUUAAUUACUUCGCAGAUAUCAAAAAUAAACAAGUUAGGCUAACACUAAAGGUUUAUAUAUUGCAUGCAUAGACAGAUAGACUAUAAUAAUCGUGUUCUCAAUUGCUUUCGCACCCAAGAGAGUUGUCCUACACGAAGAUAGGUCAUUUGAGUUUUGAUCGAGUUCCCUCAAACGAAGGGCAAAGGAAAAUAGCCAUGAUGGUUAGGAAGAGAUAGUGUGGGUCAAAAGAAAGCGCCCGGCCUCUACCGGAACAGUGUGUCUCGUACCACCUACGCAUGCCUGUAAUUUCUCUUCUUUGAAGUCGAUCUACAUUGACAAAUUAGAAACAAUUUGAAGCUUGAAGCUUAAAGCUUGAACCAAGUUAUCAACUCCAGGACCACCCCAUAAAAAUCCCGAUAAAAACCCAUGGUAAAAUUCUGUUUUCCCCAUUUAGAGCAGUCAUAAGUGUGAAAUGAUGAGAUAUACGAUACACUGAAUCCUACCAAUGGACAUGAAUAAAUCCUAAACAAGUAUCUGAUAUGAUCUUGUUUUGUUCUUUUCAUAUGCAUCCCCAUUUCGUACCAAGCUUCCAAGAUGUUUCUCUUGGCAUAUAUCUACAAUAAACAAG
rnacentral:lncRNA from 1 species